rnacentral:tRNA from 32 species
GGGGGUGUAGCUCAGUUGGUUAGAGCGCUGGCCUGUCACGCCAGAGGCCGCGGGUUCGAGUCCCGUCACUCCCGCCA